AUUAGUCACAAUCAGGACUACAAAGAACACCUUCCCGCUGGAUGGGAACGGGGUAUCCUUGAAGGGGAUAGAGGAUGGAUUGGGCAGGCACUGUUCAUUCAUAAGGGAUGCCUGAAGGAUAAACUCUCAAACUGGUAUCAUCCCCCAGAACUCAAGAGAGACUACUCAGGUUUGCCGGCUGUCCAGGCCUAUUUUCACAGGAGACUCUUCUUAUGGAUGCCAAGGAAGAUGUGGCACGUGUUUUUGCGAUGUCCCGUGUGCCCAGACAGGCCCCCACUCUGCUCCAAAGGACUCUACAACAGAGUAUGAAGUGUGCUGGAUGUCACCAGCUUUUAUUACCUUGCAGCGGAGUACAUGGACUGCGGACAUUGCAAGGGCACGCGCAUUGCCUAUGACCAACGCAUUCUGGAACAGAUGCGAGCUGGGACCAGGUCCUUUUUUCCUGUGCUGAUGACACACAAAUUUGCUUGUGACAUUUCUGUUGUGUCCAUGUUGAGAUCCAGGACUCUAGGCAACAGCCCAACAGCACUUCAGAAUACCAUUCAGGAGCUGCACAGUGAGGAAUGGAUUAGGAAACAGCUGCGCUAUCUGUCUGAUUGCAGGCAACACAAGAAGGGAUUGCUUGGACUUGGCAUAGCUGCCCCCACAUAUGACAGUGCACCAUCUUUUAAAGAUUUGCCCAAGGCCAGGUGGUUUCUUGCCUGUUAUGCCCGGGAUGUGUGGAUGCGCCUGCAAGAUCUGAAGGCAGCUGUCACAUCAGUAUUCGGCAACAUCUUAAAGAUUGAUGCCUCCAAAAAGAUCUGCAAGAAACUGCAAGGUGAAGCAGUCAAUACUGCGAGCUGGGCAGUCAAUGUCAGAAAUGAAAAGGGAGAGAUCCUAAUGAGUAUACUCACAACAUCUGAGUCCAUCCACUCCCUCAAAGACAUGGCAACAGGCCUGAUGAACCGAUAUGCAGCUGCUCAUGUGGACCCUCCAAAAGUACUAUAUUCAGACAGAGAUUGCUGCAAUCUCUCUGGUCCCACCAGAUAUAAUGUACUUUUGGAGACUGGCCCCAACUACAGGUUCGCUUGGACAUCUGGCAUGACAUGCGUCGUCUUUCCAUGGGAUGCACCACCGAAUCCCAUCCUCUUUAUGGCACAUUCAUGA
rnacentral:lncRNA from 1 species